CGGGUGAGUAACACGUGGGCAAUCUGCCCUGCACUCUGGGACAAGCCCUGGAAACGGGGUCUAAUACCGGAUACUGACCAUCGCAGGCAUCUGUGAUGGUCGAAAGCUCCGGCGGUGCAGGAUGAGCCCGCGGCCUAUCAGCUUGUUGGUGAGGUAGUGGCUCACCAAGGCGACGACGGGUAGCCGGCCUGAGAGGGCGACCGGCCACACUGGGACUGAGACACGGCCCAGACUCCUACGGGAGGCAGCAGUGGGGAAUAUUGCACAAUGGGCGAAAGCCUGAUGCAGCGACGCCGCGUGAGGGAUGACGGCCUUCGGGUUGUAAACCUCUUUCAGCAGGGAAGAAGCGAAAGUGACGGUACCUGCAGAAGAAGCGCCGGCUAACUACGUGCCAGCAGCCGCGGUAAUACGUAGGGCGCGAGCGUUGUCCGGAAUUAUUGGGCGUAAAGAGCUCGUAGGCGGCUUGUCACGUCGGUUGUGAAAGCCCGGGGCUUAACCCCGGGUCUGCAGUCGAUACGGGCAGGCUAGAGUUCGGUAGGGGAGAUCGGAAUUCCUGGUGUAGCGGUGAAAUGCGCAGAUAUCAGGAGGAACACCGGUGGCGAAGGCGGAUCUCUGGGCCG
rnacentral:rRNA from 2 species